GACAGAGGGUGCAAACGUUGCUCGGAAUUACUGGGCGUAAAGCGCGUGUAGGCGGACCACCAAGUCGGACGUGAAAUCCCUGGGCUCAACCCAGGAACUGCAUCCGAAACUGGCGGUCUGGAGUAGUGGAGAGGAAAGCAGAAUUCCUGGUGUAGAGGUGAAAUUCGUAGAUAUCAGGAGGAACACCGGUGGCGAAGGCGGCUUUCUGGACACUUACUGACGCUGAGACGCGAAAGCGUGGGGAGCAAACAGG
rnacentral:rRNA from 1 species